AGGGGGGGGAAGGGCUGUCUCUGAGUGCUCCAUAGAGAAGCUGGGUGAGCGGUCCAAAGGCAGGAACUAUGGAAGCUGUGUGGAGAUGGCAGCUGCACCACAGCAAGGAGUGUAGCCAACAGAAGGGAGCUGAGGCACGAACCCUGUGAAUGUAAGCUGAGCUGCUGCUUUGAUUGAUCACAUUGGUUGGUUCCCAGUGAGACUACCACUCUAUGGUGGAGGAUCCUCUAGUCAUUAGUGGAGACGCCUUCUUGUAUAAAUGCACAGAGUCAUAUCACUUUAUUUGUGAGAAAAUGGCUGUUCAAUAAAUCCACUGCAGUCUCAGAAGAAUCAGAGAAUCCAUCCACAGAUGCUGCAAAGACAGAGACACCACCCAGCUUUUAACUUGCUGCACUACCUUUGAAACAAAUGAGGUGUCACAUCAGAGGAUAAACCAUGACCCUUGCGGAAUGGCCCCAGCCAGUAGAAGCCCUCCCCCAACACCUUGUGUGACCUUCAUUCCUUGUUUGGUCUGAAACGUUUCCUGAAAUGGAAAAUUACAUCAUAAAAACACUUUAUUCUUCCAACAUAUUAUGCAGCCUCCUUAUGUGCUCUAA